AUUGCAAAGUUUUAAUAUUGAUAUUUCUUUCCAUGCUUAUUUUUGCAUGACUAGAGCUAAUUUUCAGAUUAAGCAUGCCCAGCAUCUUACACCUGGGAUUGCAGACCGGUUUGGUGAACUAGGGAUUAUUGCUUCAGUACAGAAUUUGGAAAUAUCUUGUCUUGAAAAGAAUUUGGAUAUGAGACUCGGUGUAGUCACCAAAGAAACUAAACCUAGUCUAACUGUAAGUCUUCUAUAUAUCAUAUUAACUGAAAUCUAGCUUUCUAGAGACUACAGAGAUAUUGAUUACUGCUAAAUUAUUCAUGCUAUAUUAUAGGAAGAUGACAUGCUAUUUAACUGAAACUAAUCUAGAUUUUUGAUGAACACUUAGAAUCUUGUGCAACUGGGAUAUCUAACUGAAACUAAUCUAGAUUUCUGAUGUUUUGACAAUACUAAUUAACUAAAAGCUUCUGCAGCAAUACCUGCUAGGUUGUGUGUUUUGCUUUAAUGGGCAUUGAGUGUGGUAAAUACUGUUCUUUUCCUGUGUACUGUGUUAUGUUUGUUUCUUGCCACGUUAAUGCUCUUGUCUCUUAUCAUUUGCCCAGGGUUGUUGAGAUCAUCUGCACUUUGGUCAGGAAAUUAUCUCCUAAUCCUAAUAGUGCUGCUAUAAUGGCCAUGGGUGUUAACAUCUUGGCAAAGAGAUUGAAAUGAUUGGGGUUCUUGAUUGAGUUUCUAUCCCAU